rnacentral:rRNA from 1 species
AGAGUUUGAUCCUGGCUCAGGAUGAACGCUAGCUACAGGCUUAACACAUGCAAGUCGAGGGGCAGCAUUUUAGUUUGCUUGCAAACUAAAGAUGGCGACCGGCGCACGGGUGAGUAACACGCAUCCAACCUGCCGAUAACUCGGGGAUAGCCUUUCGAAAGAAAGAUUAAUAUCCGAUGGUAUAUUAAAACCGCAUGGUUUUACUAUUAAAGAAUUUCGGUUAUCGAUGGGGAUGCGUUCCAUUAGUUUGUUGGCGGGGUAACGGCCCACCAAGACUACGAUGGAUAGGGGUUCUGAGAGGAAGGUCCCCCACAUUGGAACUGAGACACGGUCCAAACUCCUACGGGAGGCAGCAGUGAGGAAUAUUGGUCAAUGGACGAGAGUCUGAACCAGCCAAGUAGCGUGAAGGAUGACUGCCCUAUGGGUUGUAAACUUCUUUUAUAUGGGAAUAAAGUAUUCCACGUGUGGGAUUUUGUAUGUACCAUAUGAAUAAGGAUCGGCUAACUCCGUGCCAGCAGCCGCGGUAAUACCGGAGGAUCCGAGCGUUAUCCGGAUU